rnacentral:rRNA from 1 species
UGUCGAAAACUGUAAAGUCGAACGACCCGUGAACUAGUACCUAAACCGGGAUGGCAUCGGAUCGGUCCUUGGACCGUUCGAUGUUCAUCCUCGCUGGGUAUGUGUACGCGUUGCCCUCUCUGAGGGCGCGGGUCCGCAUUUCCCAGCACAACAACGAACCCCGGCGCGAUCCGCGCCAAGGAAAUUCAACAAAGAGAUCACGCUCGUUGCUCCCGUUCGCGGGUUGCUCGGAGCGUAAGAAUCUUGCAUAUAACAAAACGACUCUCGGCAACGGAUAUCUAGGCUCUCGCAUCGAUGAAGAACGUAGCAAAAUGCGAUACUUGGUGUGAAUUGCAGAAUCCCGUGAACCAUCGAGUUUUUGAACGCAAGUUGCGCCCGAAGCCAUUAGGUUGAGGGCACGUCUGCCUGGGCGUCUCAUUAUGCGUCGCUACACCCACCAACUCCCACAAGGUUGUCGGUGCUUGAAGCGGAUAUUGGCUCCCCGUGUGCGUUCGUGCGCGGUCAGCCUAAAAUCGAGUCCCGACGAUCGACGUCGCGGCAAGUGGUGGUUGUCAAACUGUUGCAUGCUGCUGCGCGCGUUCGAUCCCAUCGGUAGUCUCAUUGACCCUUAGCACCAUUUGGUUGGUGCCUCGAUCGCGACCCCAGGUCAGGCGGGAUUACCCGCUGAAUUUAAGCAUAUCAAUAAGCGGAGGAAAAGAAACUAACAAGGAUUCCCUU